rnacentral:rRNA from 1 species
GACGAACCGUGCGAACGUUGUUCGGAAUCACUGGGCUUAAAGGGCGCGUAGGCGGGCUGUCAAGUCUGGGGUGAAAUGCCGCGGCUCAACCGUGGAACUGCCUCAGAUACUGACGGCCUCGAGGAGGGUAGGGGCAUGCGGAACUGUAGGUGGAGCGGUGAAAUGCGUUGAUAUCUACAGGAACUCCGGUGGCGAAAGCGGCGUGCUGGACCUUUUCUGACGCUGAGGCGCGAAAGCUAGGGGAGCAAACGGG